rnacentral:lncRNA from 1 species
UUUUUUUUUUUGGCUAAUAUCCACUUAUUAGUGAGUACAUACCAUGCAUGUCCUUUUGGGUCUGAGUUACCUCACUCAGGAUGAUAUUUUCUAGUUCCAUCCAUUUGCCUGCAAAACUCAGGAUGUCCUCAUUCUUAAUAGCUGAGUAGUAUUCCAUUGUGUAAAUGAACCACAUUUUCUGUAUUCAUUCUUCUUUCGUGAGACAUCUGGGUUGUUUCCAGCUUUUGGCUAUCACAAAUAAGGCAGCUAUGGACAUAGUGGAACAGGUGCCCCUGUGGCAUGGUGAGAAAUCUUUUGGGUAUAUUUCCAAGAGUGGUAUAACUUGGUCUUUUGGUAGAUCUUUUUCCAAUUUUCUGAGGAACCUCCAGAUUGAUUUCCAGAGUAAAGAUAUUUCUUUAAGAAAUUCAGGAUUAAGUAAAUAUAUAAGAUAUUUCUUUAAGAAAUUUAGGAUUAAGUAAAUAUUUGAAAAAUAUUUAAAUCAUAAUAAAGUAAAUAUUAAUUGAAACAUGAUACUUAUUUGAAAUAUCAAAGUAAGGUUAUUAUGAGGGUAUAGUAAAAUUAGUAUGAUCAGUAUCAGUAUAAAUCCAGAACCUUAAAAAUAACGAUGGACUUCUUGGAAGGGGGUGGCAUCUUUUGAGAUGGUUCAAUAGAUACAGGCAUUGCCACCAAGCCAGGUGAUUUGAGUUCAAUGUCCAGGACUCAAAUGAUGAAGGAGAGAACCAACUUCAGUAGUUUAUCUCUGAUCUCCACAAACAUAUAGUAGCUUUCCCUACCCUCUGCCAACAAAAAUCUAAUACAUGUUUUAAGAGAAAAAAAAUACUCAUUUUUUUUAGCUAACUAAAGUUAAAUUCACAGAUAAUCGAUUCACUAAGAUUUAUUUGUAGCAUGAAAUUUAUAUCACUGUAAUGAGGCAUUGGUGAAAUAAAUGAUAUAUGCGCAACCUUAAUUUGUUAUUUAAAUAUUAAGAAUUGGGUUAUAGAAGCCCUAUCACUUUGGCAAUUUGAAAGUACUUUUUAUAAAGGACUUGCUAAAUUUUUCCAUAAUUUUCCAUUAAAAGUGGUAUUUCUUAAUAACUACAAUUUAGCUCAAAUUAUGCAAAAAGCUUGUAUUUCAGAAAAAUAUAUCUACUGCUUACAUUUUUGUGUGUAUUAUUAUAAAACUCAUAGGUUUUACAUUGCAAUUUUAACAGAAUUUAAUACAUUAGUAAUCUCUAACCAACAAGCAAGUAAUGUGUUUGAAUAAUGGACAUUCCCAAGAUUGUUUAAAAUAAAGAAAAAAUUUUAAUAAUUGACAAUCAUAAACUAUCACUUAAAUUAUUUGUCUGUAACACUGGAAGAAAAAUGAUUAAUUCCGUUUUUUAAAAACCAAAUAUUGUUUACUUAGCGGUGUGUGAGUCCUGGGACUGACUGAUCUUUCUUUCUUUCUUUCUUUCUUUCUUUCUUUCUUUCUUUCUUUCUUUCUUUCUUUCUUUCUUUCUUUCUCUCUUUUCUUCUUUUAGAUAAAUAUGUCAUUUAUUUAGAUUUUUGGUAAAAUCUACAAUAUUCAGAAUGGGAAACAAUUUCCGAGAUUGAAGAAACAUAAAUCCUUAUGUUAAAGGAAUUUUUAAAAUCCUAAAUUUAAUAAAUGAAUAAUAUAUUAUGCCUUAUAGCCUUAAGAUUUCAAAAAUCCAUACCCAACUAAACUAAUUUUUUUUUUGAUAGUGAGCGUUUGUUUGCAGAACGUCUAACCAGUGGACAAUAAUCAUAAGGUCAAGGUUGACAAGGUGCUCAGCUGACUUCUACAUCUGACUACUGGGGAUAGUGGCACAAUAAACUUCCUAAUUUAUAAACCUCAUUUCCUUCAGCUGAAUACCUACCAGUUGCAUAGUUGAAUCAUGUCCUAGUUUUCUUGAGGUGGUUUUGUGUUUGUUUUUGUUUUAAAGCAGCUCCCAUACUGCUUUCCAUAGUGGCACUGCUAACUUUCCUACCAACUGUGCAUGCUUUCUCCCUGUACCUUCAUUUCAUACCCUCACCU